rnacentral:rRNA from 1 species
AACGCGAAGAACCUUACCUGGGCUUGAUAUCCUUGGAAUCUUGUAGAGAUACAAGAGUGCUAGUUUACUAGAACCAAGAGACAGGUGCUGCACGGCUGUCGUCAGCUCGUGUCGUGAGAUGUUGGGUUAAGUCCCGCAACGAGCGCAACCCUCGUGAUUAGUUGCUAACAGUUUGGCUGAGCACUCUAAUCAGACUGCCUUCGCAAGGAGGAGGAAGGUGAGGACGACGUCAAGUCAUCAUGGCCCUUAUGCCCAGGGCUACACACGUGCUACAAUGGCGCGUACAAAGAGAGGCGAUACCGCGAGGUGGAGCAAAUCUUAAAAACGCGUCUCAGUUCGGAUUGGAGUCUGCAACUCGACUCCAUGAAGCUGGAAUCGCUAGUAAUCGUAGAUCAGAUAUGCUACGGUGAAUACGUUCCCGGGUCUUGUACACACCG